GGUGGCGUAGUCAAGUGGUAAAGACACGGGCCUUUCACGUCCGUAGCAUCGGUUCAAAUCCGUUCGCCAUCA
rnacentral:tRNA from 2 species